UAGGGAAUCUUCCACAGUGGACGCAAGUCUGAUGGAGCAACGCCGCGUGAGUGAAGAAGGUUUUCGGACCGUAAAGCUCUGUUGUUGGUGAAGAAGGAUAGAGGUAGUAACUGGCCUUUAUUUGACGGUAAUCAACCAGAAAGUCACGGCUAACUACGUGCCAGCAGCCGCGGUAAUACGUAGGUGGCAAGCGUUGUCCGGAUUUAUUGGGCGUAAAGCGAGCGCAGGCGGAAGAAUAAGUCUGAUGUGAAAGCCCUCGGCUUAACCGAGGAAUUGCAUCGGAAACUGUUUUUCUUGAGUGCAGAAGAGGAGAGUAGAACUCCAUGUGUAGCGGUGGAAUGCGUAGAUAUAUGGAAGAAUACCAGUGGCGAAGGCGGCUCUCUGGUCUGCAACUGACGCUGAGGCUCGAAAGCAUGGGUAGCGAACAGGAUUAGAUACCCUGGUAGUCCAUGCCGUAAACGAUGAGUGCUAAGU
rnacentral:rRNA from 1 species